rnacentral:rRNA from 1 species
CCUACGGGUGGCAGCAGUGAGGAAUAUUGGUCAAUGGACGAAAGUCUGAACCAGCCAAGUCGCGUGAAGGAUGACUGCCCUAUGGGUUGUAAACUUCUUUUAUCAGGGAGUAAAACGAGGCACGUGUGCCUUUUUGCAUGUACUUUAUGAAUAAGGAUCGGCUAACGCCGUUCCAGCAGCCGCGGUAAUACGGUGGAUCCGAGGGGUGUUCGGAUUUAUUGGGUUUAAAGGGAUCGUGGCUGGGUUGUUAAGUCAGUUGGGAAAGGUUGGGGGUCAAACGUAGAACUGGAAUUGAUACUGGCAGUCUUGAGUAUAGGUGAGGGAGGCGGAAGUCGUGGUGUAGCGGUGAAAUGCUUAGAUAUCACGAAGAACCCCGAUUGCGAAGGCAGCUGACUAAACUGUGACUGACAUUGAUGCUCGAAAGUGUGGGGAUCAAACAGGAUUAGAUACCCCUGUAGUC